UGACUCUGAUCAACCCACUGGCUUGGCACCGUCCUGUCUCAGCGAGGCACAUGGGAUUGGCCAAUGGCUAACCUGAUUCCACGCCUCUCGUGAGAGUAUAAGCCUCGAGAUGUAACGGCCCUCCGCAGAGGAAGAUAAUGACGGUACCUGCAUAAGAAGUCCGCUAACUCCGUGCAGCAGCCGCGUAUACGAAGGAGCUAGCGUACUCGUAAUCAUUGGGCGUAAAGCGUGCGUAGCGUCUGUAAGUCAGGAGUGACAGCCUGGGGCUCAACCCCAGAAUUGCUCUGAUACUGCAGAACUAGAGUUGCAGAGGGGAUGGCGGAAUUCGUAGUGUAGAGGUGAAAUUCGUAGAUAUUAGGAGGAACACCGGAGGCGAAGGCGGCCAUCUGGCUGGAAACUGACGCUGUUGCACGAAAGCGUGGGGAGCAAACAGGAUUAGAUACCCUGGUAGUCCACGCCCUAGACGAUGAGUGCUAGAUAUCGUGACUUGUUCUCGGUGUCGCAGCUAACGCAUUAAGCACUCCGCCUGGGAAGUACGGCCGCAAGGCUAAAACUCAAACGGAAUUGACGGGGACCCGCACAAGCGGUGGAACAUGUGGUUUAAUUCGAUGCUACGCGAAAAACCUUACCAGGUCUUGACAUAAUGGUCAUAUGAUUGUGAAAGCAGUCAGUCGGUUCGGCCGGACCAUUACAGGUGUUGCAUGGCUGUCGUCAGCUCGUGUCGUGAGAUGUUGGGUUAAGUCCCGCAACGAGCGCAACCCUCAUCCUUAGUUACCAGCGAGUAAUGUCGGGCACUCUAAGGAAACUGCCAGUGAUAAACUGGAGGAAGGUGGGGAUGAUGUCAAGUCAGCAUGGCCCUUACGACCUGGGCUACACACGUGUUACAAUGGCGGUGACAGAGGGAAGCAAUAGGGUGACCUGGAGCAAACCCCCAAAAGCCGCCUCAGUUCGGAUUGUACCCUGCAACUCGGGUACAUGAAGUCGGAAUCGCUAGUAACCGCAGAUCAGCAUGCUGCGGUGAAUACGUUCCCGGGUCUUGUACACACUGCCCGUCACGCCAUGGGAGUUGAUAUUUCCUGAAGUAGGUGAGCUAACCGCAAGGAGGCAGCCUACCACGGUGAUAUCGAUGACUGGGGUGAAGUCGUAACAAGG
rnacentral:rRNA from 1 species